CUGCGUCUCCCGCCCCGCCCCGCCCCGCCCCGCGCGGCGCUCCGAGGGAGCGGGGCUGAGGGCGGGGGGGAAGCGGAGCUGCAAGGAGGGGAGAGGAAAAAAAGCGGCCUUGCGAGCCAGGAGGAGCUGCUCAGCGGCGACUGAAGCAGUAGAGAGCGUGGAGAGACAGCAACGGGGAGAGGGGGACAGCAAGGGAGCAGGAAGAAGUUGUCUCCCCCUUGAAAAAGGAUUCAUCCCCUGACUCUAAAUGGUUGAUAACUUCUUUUCUAAGGAAAAUGCAUUCUUUAUAUCUUCUGGAGUUUGAGUUCAAUUUGAUGAAUACAUUGCAGUAUGUUACUUGCCUCUGACUACAUCUUUAAAACCUUGUUUGAAUGGAUUUUUCGAUGAACCAGCCACCGAAACUCACAAAUAUGGUAGUUUGCUUCCAAAUCUCAAGAGUCCAUGAUAUUGCAAGUGUAUGAAAAGGAAAGAAACAUACAGCCACAUCAAAGCAAGUCUUACCUGGCUUAUGCACCUGUUGUGUGAACUACAAGUCAUCUUAUCAUGAAAGUAUAAGAGAAGUAUUAUUUACCAUGUGUAAACAAAAUCUACAGACGUGAAACUGUCCCCUAGAGAUAACUGGAGGCUCAAAAACUAUAGCACUACCUGAAGAUUUUUGCAGAUCUCUUCUGUGCAGCUUCUUCUUAUCUGUGGAAAAUGAAGGUUCAUGCCACAACUCAUUUUACUUCAGGAGUUUUGUAGCAAUGAACUGUGACCAAAAAUGAUGGGAGAAAAAAAGACCAGUAUGUUGGCUUGAACCAAGAAACCUCUUCUGGAGUUUUAAUGUCUCCUUAAAUCAGCUCAGAACAGAGAUGUCUUACAGAGAAGAGUCUACCGGUUUUUUAAGCCUUCCAAAAAGCAGAACACACAAGUUAAUACAUCAGCCAAAGGGGAUCACCCUGCCUGACAGAACACAGGAUUAUGAGGAUACAGGUGACCACAUGCCUACAUUUGACAAAGACCUUAAUGGGGGAACACCUUCUGUUCUCAGACCCAGAGAGUGACAGUCAAUGGAACGAGUCAACAUGGCACGUAGUGACCAAUGGCAUCCCUCAGGGUUCAGUUGUUGGACCAAUCCCAAAUCCUUCAGAGAAUGCAAUAAAUCCAUAUGAUGUCCAUGAAACUGUGCAUUUGGAUCUUCUAUUGGCUGACAGAUAUUUAAAAUCACAUGAAGACAGACAGCUCCCCACUGAUUCCGCAUCUGAGAAGGUUCUUAAGCAAUAUUUUAAUUAAGGAGCACCAGGGAAAAAGGGACAGUUCGCUGGACCCACCACUGAGGGCUCUCCGGUGUCCAGGGAUUCUGGUUGUCUGGCUCAGGUGUCUGCUGAAAGGCACAUAGAAAGGCUACUCAUGCCUCUUGUGGACACCCAUGCUGCAGGUUGGCCACUCCUGGGCUAAUAGGUGAAGAACAGGAGCCAGGGGACAUGUGUGACAGAGCAGCUUUAAGGGCUGGAACAGGCAGCCACCAGGUGGUUGAUGAGGGCAGCCAUUUUACAGCCCAGCUCUCCUGGCUAUGGGGAGCAGUUUGUGAUCAGUAGUCCUGGGAGUAACAUUGCCCGAGUUCCUGCAACUCCUGCUCCAGGAACAUCUCGGAGCCAAAACAAUAGAAGCCAUCUCUGAAAAUGCAGAUCUGCUGAACAGAAGCUGUCAUAAGGCCUAAGGAUUUUUCUAAGGACUGAUAUAGCUAAUGUAGGAACUAGUGUUGCUUGUUAGAGCUGUACACUCAAAAGAAUCAUGAAAAAACCACUAAACAAACAGGGGUAUGAUCUCUGAGUAUUGGGAACACUUUGGUGUGAAAAACUGAGAAUGAUUUCGAGGUAAGUGCUGACUGGGAAAGGGCUUGGAAAUGUGAGCAAAGAUAUCAUCUUCAUGUGUUUGAUUCUGUCUUUGGGUCAUUUUAAUCAUUUAGCUUUUCCCAUUGCAUAAUACAGGUAGUUGAAUUGUACUUAGUAAUUCUUGCAUUGAGCCUGCUAACUUGUGCUUAAACUAACAUUUAUAUUUUAGGACGACAUUCUCUACCGCAAACUCAUUAUAUUCACAGCAAGAAAAAGUGACUCUGAUUAUAUAAAUAGUCUCGUGAUAGCAUCUCUUUCCCAUAAAAGCAAAUGUGAGAGACUUUUUAAAAAUAUGCUCCUAGUUAACCUUUCAAGCCAGUUUCCCUAUUGUCCAAGAAAACAGCUUUUCUGUCUUUUUUUUGUUCUAAGCCUGACAUGUUUUCUCUGUUUUCUGUGGCUAGGUACAGAUGUUCAGGAAGGUUAGCUUGCAUUAAACAUGGCCACCUGAUCUAACUUAGUUUGCCCAGGUGUGGGCCUUAUACUUAGUUCCCUAGUUAGGUCAAUUGAAGCAAGAACUAUACAGAAGUUCAGGAAGGUUGGUCUAAAAAUGGCUGACCUGAUCUAAUUUAACCCUACAUCAGAGGUAGUCUGACUUAGAUUGGGUCCAGUGAGACCAAACUAAUUGAACUUCUGGUACAGUUCCCAGCACAGCUCCAGGGCAGGAAAAGCCCAGUUACUGGCUAUGCUUUUCCUACCACCUGCCUGGCACCAGGCUAUUUUUCUCUUCCCAGCCUCUUACCCCACCCCCAGAUGGACAACUGUGAAAUAGCCAGUUCCACCCAAGCCCGCUAAACCUCCCAUUCUGCAAGCUGCUUCUGGUGCUGGUUUUACCAGUGUUCACUGGUGCGAGGAGCCCUCCCUGCAGAACUGCCAGCCCCUCCCAUCCAUCUGCUCCUCCCUUCACCCCAACUUACUUCAAACAGGCUUCCAGAACCAGUGAGCACUAGUAAAACUAGCCCUGGGAGCAGUCUGAGGUAUUGGGGGAAGCUCGCUGGCAUCAAGGGGGAGCUGAGGAUCUGAGGGGAUUUGGGAGGGUUGGAAAGCCUCUCUGAUUCUGCUAACCUCUCCCCACCUCCACUCCCAACUCUGCUAGGCCUGCCUCCCCCCCAAUCCCACUAAACCAUCCUGGACCCCACCAACUCCCUGCCCUGUGGACUCCUCAAGCUCCCCUGCUACCCCUCUCUCCCUCCCCCCACAACAUCCCAAUGUACCUUAGAUGAAGUGGCCAUUUUUAACUAGAUCUAACCUCCCUGAAUGUCUGUAUGCAUCUUGCAUGUCGUUUCACAGUAUCUGAUAAAGUGAGCUUCAGCUCACAAAAGCUUGGACUACCCACACCCACACCAUACCAUAUACCACACCACACACUUUAGGUGCAAAUCUAUGCUAUCUUCUACAAGUUUUCUGUGGUCAAACAAGUGUUACAGCUAUCUACUUUUGACCUCACACUGAUCUAAGCCAAGCAACAUACUGAGUGGUGAAGUGCAGUAUAUGUCCAUAUUGCAUUAACAGAACAAGCCCCUCUGCUAUUCUGACCAUGCUACCUGAAAAUAUAAAUUAAGAAGCAUCAUGAAGAAUUUUCAAAAUGAUACUACUGGAAACCAAGACACUAAUUAUUUAUUUUAAGUCAAGCCAAGCAGGAAAGACAUUGACUGGUAUAAGCUAGACCUAGAAAUGCUGGGCAUGAAAUGAGUCUUUUUACUGUAAAAUUGACCAUCUACCCUAUUGGCUUUAGUUCCCUAGAACUUUGGCUCCCAGUUGCUUAUAGGCAACACAAAUAUUUGUAUCAAAUUCACUUGCCUCUAUAGGAAGUAGGACUUUAUUAGUGCAACAUUCUUUCUCAUAAUGAGGGUCCAAUUGAUACUCGGUUAUAGGAGCAAUAAUUCUAGUUUUUUCCCCCCAAACUACUACUUCACCUUCCUCACUUGUCCAGUUUCACAGCUGAGAAAUAUUUAAGGUGAACAAACUUGGCAAGGUCAGGGGGAAAAGACUGAAACCAGUUUUUAAAGGGGGAAGAAAUCAAUAAGUGUUCUCCCUGUUGGCACUUGCUUUUUUGAAAUGGAAGUCCCAAAUUCCCUCAGCUGCUGUCCUUGCACUAACAACAAUAUUGGGGCUGCUUAAGAUUUAUAGGGGUGUCAUGUUUAAUAUUCUUCUUUGUCAAGAAUUUUUUUUCCUCAUGUCAGGCAAUGAAAUUAAGCCUUCUGUGAACCUGAAUACUAUAGACAUAAAAAACCUAAAGAGAAAAAAACCCCCACCACAAAACUAUAAGCAACAGCAUAAUAGUAGCAAGAUCUUCAGCUUGUGUCUAUCAGCAGUGGUCCACUAAAGUAAUAGGACUACAAUGCCAGAUGAGAAACUAGACCUAAAUCUUCUAGUUUAAAUUACUGUUUCUUUACUAAUGAGAUCCUCCCUCACUUGGUAGAAGGGCCCAACCCUUGCCUGCACAGUGAAGGCUCCUAUUUCUUCCCUCUCAGCCAUCAUUGGCAAUCAUGAACUUAUCCAUCAGUGGCAAGGCAUAGGGGGUGCAUGAGGGCGCACAUGCACCCCCUGAGAGUGCUGGUGCACCCCCUGUCAGGCCGUGUUCCCAGUGCCCUGCUGUGAAUGCUGGCCAGAGAGUGGGAGUGCUGGAUGAAGCGCUGUGGCCACUUCCGUGAGCACUGUGGCCGCUUCCUGGUUGGUACGAUCGGCCGUGGGGGACACCCGCCCCCGCAGUUGGCAAGAUUGUCUGUGGGGGGAACCCCCCCCAAUUGCUGACUGGUCGCUGGGGGGGCAUGUGCCCCACCCAACUAUGGUGGCACCAGUCGCCCAUGCUAUUGGUCACAGCCCCAGUAGGUGCACCACUUGAACUCAUGGCAACCUGCUUGCCUCUGCAUCUAUCAAAGAAAAAAGCCUUCUUGGUAGCCUGAUCUGCAGGAAGGCUGGGGACCUGCCUGACUUUACCAUUUAUACUUUUCCCCCUUCUUCCUGCCUUCCCCUCCUUCUCUGCCCUUUGGCUUCCUAAUUUCCAGCUAUUUACUUUUUCAGACUGUCAUUCUUCUACCUUGGAUAACUCAAUUACAGCAGUCUCCCUUGCUUACCUUUGGCAUUAUUUCCCCCCCCUCGUUCUCCGGUUCCCUCCUUUCUCUACCCAUUGUUUUCCUAAUUUCCACCUAUUUACAUUCUCACUGACAUCCUGUCACACUUUUACCUUCUUUCAUUCCUUAGAGAGCUCAGAACAGCAGAAACUCCCUAUACCUGAAGAAGAGUGUUUGUGUCUAAAAGUUUGCAAAAAACUUUUCCCCAACUACUCAGUUGAUCUAAUAAAAGAUAACACAUCUACACAAAGAACCUUGCCUGCCCAUGUCCUUAGACUAAUACAGCUACAACCAAAAACCCUGGGUUAACCAGGCACUGAUCUAUUUCCCUACAGAAGGCCUUGUGAAGUCCCCUGAAGCUUCUACCCAAAGUUUUUGUGGAACAGUUUAACCUAUUGGUUAUCUUCCCAAAACCUCAGUCGUUGAGACUAGCAAUAUCUUUAUACAUGUUGUAUGUGAAGAGAGCUCUGUCCCUGUACAAAACUAACUUUUCUAACUAACUUCAAAACUAACUAAAUAACUUCAAAACCUCCUGUUCUGUAAGUGCACAGCUGUAGGGUGCUUUGAGUGGCCAAUCACACAACAAGCUGUCACAUCUGUCAGUGCCCUCAUUGUCUAUGUAUGCAACCAUUAUUAAAUCUCUAAUAAAAUUAUAUAUUCAGUUUUAUUAAUAUUUUCACUUCCUAAUUAUAUCUAUCACCAGCAUUUUCUCUUAUGAAGACAUGAACCAUUUAACACAUACAUAUUUAUUGGUGACAUUAGCAGCUGAAACUGAGAAUACUUGUUUAAAACAAUUUGCAUAUGUAAAAAUGACUAGAAGUAGCUAGAAAGUAAAUCAAAUAGUGUUAACUGAUGUUGGUUAAUAUGACUAUGGUGAGAUUUUGUUAUUAAGUUUCCAUUUCCUUUUUGCACCCUGAAAUUUACCAGAGGAAUUCAUAUUCUUUAUAAUCUAUGGAUGGAAGAUGAGGAAAUGGGUUGUGGUGCCUUCUGUUUUGGUAUUCACUGUCUGGUUUUCAUUGUUUACUAGCAACAUAAAAAUAGGGGAGAAUUUUACCAAAUCUGUUGUAGUUUUCUGCUAAUCUAAGUAGCUCAUCUGUUCCAAAUGUAUGGUAAGACAUGGGGAAUUUUAUAUGGGAGGAUUCUUCCUCCUAAUGCAAUCAUUGCAUAUAAUUCUCCACUAAAUAAUAUCAGGGAUUAGAUGGAAAACAGUGUCUGUCAUUCAGAGGCAUAGCAAGGCAUUUCUGUGCCUGGGGCAGUCAUGUGGUAUGCAGGACAGUGCCACCUUCUGCCAUGCCAAUUGCAGUGGCACAAUCAAGCACUGCUAUGGCAUCAGCUGCUUUUGAGUCCCCCUCUAUCCUGCCCAUGGCUGCUGCCCCAGUUGCCACCCUUAGUUAUGGUACUGCUGUCAUUUCAGUGUCAGCCACAUGAUUGCAUAGGAGCAAAAAAAUGGACUUUGUGUUGAAAAUUCAUGCAAGACACUGGUUGUUUCUUUCUGAUCUAGUAACUCUUACUAGUUCCGAACAAAACACCAUGACAUAUUUCAAAACUCCAUAAUAGCUGUAAGUUAAAUCCAAUGGUAUAGUGGCAACCAAGCCACAUGUUUUUUUUUAUUUGGAUAAUGUUACAUAAUACUGCUACAUAUAAAAGUAGAGCACUAAAAAACGACAUUAAUUGAAAUUCAGUGGUGGUUUUGUUUUUUUUAUGGUCUUGAUAGCUCUUUUACCAAGUGAUAGCUGGAUUUAGGACCCUUGCAGAGUAGUUUAUACUUGAAUGAGAAAUUGCAGAAUGGUUAGGAGUGAAAUCCUGGCACCAGUGAAUUCAGACACUAAACUCCCAUUGACUUCAGUGGACCAGAAAUUCACCCGAAGUAUUUAUGUAAUUUCAUUAUUUACUUAUUUUUAUUACAAACAGUGGUAGGAAUAACCUUCAUACAGGUAUCCACUCUCUUUUCACAGAUAUCCUAGAUCAGGGGUUCCCAAACUGUGGUACACGUACCCCUGGGGAUAUGCAAGACAUCUCGGAGGCAGGGGGGUGGAGGUACAUGGGAGGAAUUGUGUAAUGGUAGACUUAAUUUUCAUUAUAGUUGGCAUUUAAGGGGUUAAAAUAUGCUGGUAGGGAUACACAGGCAGCUGGUAAAUCUGGAAGUGGGUACGCAAUAAGAAAAAGUUUGGGAACCUCUGUACCGAGAUGAAGCACUUUAUCCCUGUCCCAAGAAGCAUCUAUCUUGUUGCUUUGCUUCUCUCAGACUGUCCUCACUGUGGACAUAGCUAGAGUUAGUUAACCAUCUUGCACUCACUAAGAUUUUAUUUCAAAUUGUUUCAUAGUUACCUGGGUCAAAUCCAAGUACACUUUAAAUUGAAACAUAAAUUUCUAAUAUUAUUUUCAGUAGUAUCUCAGCUCCAUCAAAGGCUAAGAAAAAUUGAGUAAAGACAGCAGGAUUUUGUUGAAUGAGACUAAAUAUAUGAUGAAUGACACCUAAAAUUUACUUAGCUGGUAGACUGAACUACUACUUUUAAUUUGUAAAAAUAUCUAUGAAUUUUUAUUUGAGGCUAGUUCUUUCACCUGUUCAUCAUGAUUAAAGGGAAUCAAGGCCUCUCUUUUUUUAACCGUUAAUUUAGGCCCAGAUUUUCAUGUCCAGCCUAUAGGUUGAUGGGCAGAUGAAGCAAGAGGAUCCUUGUCCAUAAAGUUGGUCUCAGACCAUGCUGUGACUGCUGCUGCCAUAGCUCCCAGAGGCCUAAUAUGUGUUGCCUGGGGGUGAGUGGAUUGAUGAAUGAAGCAGCAAACCCUUUGGCCCUUCCUGAACCCACACUUGCUUUUCCCCUCUUUUUUGGUGGACAUUAAGCUGUUGUGGAGCCUUUAGUGAUGAAAGUUGUAAUUUAAAGACACCAGCUAAUUUAGAGGAAGGUGGUAUUUGGAAGAUGGUCCCUCAGUCAAGUUGCUGUUAGUCAGUUAGUCAGACAGGGUCUUUAGAGGUUGCACACUGCUCCACAAUUAAGGUUUUCUGUUGUUUUUAUUCAUGUAUACCUACAUUUGUCAAGUCUGGUGAUCACUACAUGGUGUCAGAAAUGUCAGAUGAGAGAACUUGAAACAAUUUGAGUUCCGACUGAAGACAAAUUUGGAAACUGAGAUCACAAGUAGAGCAGCACAGCCAUGUAAGCCUCUGUAAGCAAUCUCUCUGCACAGUUAUUGUCUAAGUAAAAGGACAGUGAAUUACAGAAGUUUUGCAACCUCCAUCUGCCCUUCUGUUGUCAAGCUAUACAGCAGAGAGCUGGAGGGGCUUCAGGCAAUGGUUUGAAUGUUACAGAACAGCCACAGGGGCAGAGGAAAACAUGACAACAUCAAAACCUCAAUCUUUUUGCAUAUUGUGGGGGAGGAAGCCCUGGUUGUUUAUAACACCUUUUCCUUUAAAGAGGACAAAAUAUGCAAUUAAGUGUGAUACUGUUCACAUUUGAGGAAUACUGAAUGCCAAAAAAGAAUGAGACCCUUGAAAGACAUGGGAUUUUUUAUGUUCGGACAAACAGGACAAAGUAUAGUUCAGCAUGUUUACUGAACUAAAGAGACUGAUUAAAAACAGUGCUUUUAGGAACUUAACAGCAUCUCUGAUUAGAGAUAAGAUUAUUUGUGGCACUGCAGACACUGCAUUACAAGAGAGACCACUGCGUGAAGGGGAUUUGUCCUUAGAAAAGACUGUGUAAAUGUGUAGUGCAGCAUAAACUGUGAAGGCCCAGCUUGCAGAGCUGAAAGCGCCAAAAGGAAUUAUCCAUGCAGUAGGCCAGAAAGCACAUGGUCAGAAGAAGCCACAUCACAGUGUAGAUUUUUCCACUGGCAAAGAGGCCUCUAAGGGGGAGAGAGCUAAUAAGCUGAUGCAAGGGCUGAUCCAGGGAGGGUGCAAUGGCACCCUUACACCCUAUUUUGAUUUCUCUUCCACCCAAAAUUUAAAACCUGAAAAUGGCAGUAACAUUUUUAGUCAGGCAGUGCUGAGUGCAUGAAAUGACUGAAUUUCAUUGUCAUGUAUGUGAUCUCUUCUAAAAUCUUUAUUCACAGGUGUUAACAACCCUUUCUUCUUCUUAAUGGUUUACAUUUUCCACCAAUCAAGCUAUCCUUUGUUUUGCAAUUCUGCUGUCUGUUAGCUGCUCCUAGUAAUGAAGCUCCUAUUUCACAGUCCUGCAGAUUUGUUUUUAACUCAUUCCAAUGAAGUUUUAUUUGUUUUUGCUUCAAUCUUAAACUGAAUAAUACAGCUCUGAAUAAUAUACUGGCAUAUUAGUAAAGCUUCUAGUUUAUUUUUAA